rnacentral:rRNA from 1 species
CGUGUAGGCGGUCAGGUUAGUGGGACGUGAAAUGCCCCGGCUCACCCGGGGACCUGCGUCCCAAACUGCCUGGCUUGAGUAUGGGAGAGGAUGAGGGAAUUCCUGGUGUAGCGGUGAAAUGCGUAGAUAUCAGGAGGAACACCGGUGGCGAAGGCGCUCAUCUGGCCCAAUACUGACGCUGAGGCGCGAAAGCUAGGGAGGCAAAC